rnacentral:lncRNA from 1 species
UCUGUGAUACAUCACUGACAUAUCACCUCAGACUUUGAAGUACUCUCUGCCCAUUUUUUGAGCACACCCUGGCAACUAGCUAUGCUACCACAUACUGUAUUGUCACAUGGAAUGCUAUUGGUCGGAAAGAGUUACCAGCAAGUUGGCACGUUGCCUCUCAGAGACUCCCAAAGCUGGUCACAGAUUCUGCUUCUUUUAUUUCUCCAAACCAAUAUGUCAAGAGGAAAACUUUCUCUCUUUCCUUUUUAGAAGUUAUAUAUGGGCAUUCAUCUCACAGCUUUUCAGAGACUGAGUUCUACACUGAUGUGAUGGAAGGCCUUUCACAGAGUUCCUCUGGAGCUCUUCACAAUGACUGUGUGCCAAUUCAGAUCAACGCUGGUAUGUUUGGGGAUGGCUUCUGGGACAGUUUUUAU